rnacentral:rRNA from 1 species
UACGGGGGGAGCAAGCGUUGUUCGGAUUUACUGGGCGUAAAGGGCGCGUAGGCGGUCGUGACAAGUCACUUGUGAAAUCUCCGGGCUUAACUCGGAACGGUCAAGUGAUACUGUCGGACUAGAGUACAGAAGGGGCAACUGGAAUUCUCGGUGUAGCGGUGGAAUGCGUAGAGAUCCGGAAGAACACCGGUGGCGAAGGCGGUCUGCUGGGCAGUUGCUGACACUGAGGCGCGACAGCGUGGGGAGCAAACAGG